GAAAGCUGCUUACAUUAAAAUUAAAAGCAUGGUGAGUUUGGUGGGGUGAGUGGGAAGCUGCAGUUGCAGUUUACAAAGUACCUAAAUUGGAACAGAAGUGCACUAAGAUAAAGACCCUACAAUUGGACCAACCCAAACUUAUCUUUACAUUUCGACCUAAAAUCCACCAUCACACAUUUGAGUGGAUACAUUUUAAUCUGAAGAUACACUUUGGUAUUUCACUCCGUUUUCAUGCUUAGGAGAGUAUUCCACACCAAUACCAUUAGUGGCAGAUAGUUUUGUCCUAGUCUCCACAUAGUUUCCUGCCAUAGAAUCAAACAAAAUGCCAGCGCCAAUACCA
rnacentral:misc_RNA from 1 species